AGUGUCAAAGUCAGGUGUAAAAAAUGGCGCCUCUCAAGCAUCUCGAGAGGGACAAUCCAAUCAUCGACGCAUGUUUCCGAGAUUUCUGCGCCUCCCAUGGGAUUCUAACAGUUGAGGAUUUCCUUCUUCAUGAUCUCUACGAACUUGCUGCAUUUGCUGAACGACAGACAAAUGCAGACAGAUUGAAGGAGGGUAUCACUCACAUGCUUUCUUUGAUAGAACACCAGUGUCGGCCAUGGUUGAACGGUAUGGAAAUUUUGGAGGAUCUACAUCGUAAUAAACAUACUCUAUCGACUGGAGACAACGGGAUGGACUCAUUGCUUCAAGGUGGAUUCCGUGAGGGUCAGCUGACAGAACUUGUUGGACCAUCAUCUUCUGGUAAAACACAAAUUUGCAUGCAAGCUGCUGCGAGCGUGGCAGAAAAGCAAACUGGUAGAGUCUUUUAUGUAGACACGGGGAACUCUUUUUCUGCCCGACGCAUUGCUCAAUUUAUUUGUGCCACUUCAGAUGCUGCUUUAGGAAAGAAGGUCUUGAGCAGAAUAUCAUGUCACACGGUCUAUGAUAUAUUUACAAUGUUUGAUACGCUGCAAGGUCUAGAGGUUACUUUGAGGUCGCAGGUGCAAAUGAAUGUGAACGAGUACAGGUUACGGUUGUUAGUCGUUGAUUCAAUCUCUUCUCUGAUUACCCCAAUCCUUGGAGGCAGUGGCUCACAGGGUACAUGUCCUUGACGCGCUUUGAUGGUGGCAGUUGGAUAUAUGCUGAAGAAGCUGGCACACGAACAUAACAUCGCUAUACUGGUGACGAACCACACGGUGGGUGCUGGAGAAGGUGGUAAAACCAAGCCAGCUCUUGGGGAAACAUGGAAAAGCAUCCCACACGUGAGACUUAUGCUAUCGCGUGACCACAGAAACAGCAACUGCACCAUUUCCAUCUUAAAACACACAUCCAUGCCAUCAGGCCUGACUGGGCGGACCUUGACUCGCAAGGACAAUCAACAAUGUUGAUGAGCCAGCUCCUUGGCUGUCUACGCCCCAUCUUUUGGAUAUGCGAGAUCAGAACCAUCAUUUAUGAAGAGAGACAAUGAUAGAUGGAUUCUUGUUUUAUAUAUGUUUCAAAUGUAUGAUUAGGAUGAUUACUGCAUCAACGGAAACAGAAGUUAUUCACUAGCGUUUUUCAAGAUUGUAAUGCCAAAAG